rnacentral:rRNA from 1 species
GUGGGGAAUCUUGCGCAAUGGGCGAAAGCCUGACGCAGCCAUGCCGCGUGAAUGAUGAAGGUCUUAGGAUUGUAAAAUUCUUUCACCGGGGACGAUAAUGACGGUACCCGGAGAAGAAGCUCCGGCUAACUUCGUGCCAGCAGCCGCGGUAAUACGAAGGGGGCUAGCGUUGCUCGGAAUUACUGGGCGUAAAGGGCGCGUAGGCGGACAGCUUAGUCAGAGGUGAAAGCCCAGGGCUCAACCUUGGAAUUGCCUUUGAUACUGGCUGUCUUGAGUUUGGGAGAGGUGAGUGGAACUCCGAGUGUAGAGGUGAAAUUCGUAGAUAUUCGGAAGAACACCAGUGGCGAAGGCUACUCACUGGCCCAAUACUGACGCUGAGGCGCGAAAGCGUGGGGAGCAAACAGGAUUAGAUACCCCUGUAGUCC